AUGUUGGCAAAGGUCAAUAUUCCUAUUCCUAAGAAACGCAAACUUGGACCAAAGACAGUGGAUUGUGUCUUUCUAGGGUAUGCUCAACGGAGCAUUGCUUAUAGGUUUUUAGUGGUAAAAUCUGAAGUACCUGAUAUGCAUGUUGAUACUAUAAUGGAAUCUCGUGAUGCAACAUUUUUUGAGAACAUAUUUCCUAUGAAAGAUAUGCAUAGCAUUGCUAGAUUUUCUUCUGAGAUAAUUCCUGAAUCUAGUACAACUGAUGAAUAUUUCGAACAAUCACAUGAGGAAGUCCUUGAGAAGGAUAACAAUGAAGUUCCUAGAAGGAACAAGAGACAAAGGAUUGCAAAAUCCUUUGGUGAUGAUUUCAUUGUAUACCUUGUGGACGACACACCCAAGACGAUUGCAGAAGCAUAUGCAUCUCCGGAUGUAGAUGAUUGGAAAGAAGCUGUUCAUAAUGAGAUGGACUCAAUUCUUUCUAAUGGAACUUGGGAACUAACUGAUAGACCAUAUGGUUGUAAACCUGUGGGCUGUAAGUGGGUGUUCAAAAAGAAGCUAAAGCCUGAUGGUACUAUUGAUAAGUACAAGGCGCGGCUAGUGGCCAAGGGCUACACUCAGAAAGAAGGCGAAGAUUACUUUGACACCUAUUCACCCGUUGCUAGAAUGACCACCAUUCGAGUGUUACUUUCCAUGGCUGCCUCUUAUGGUCUUAUCAUUCAUCAAAUGGAUGUAAAGACAGCUUUUCUCAAUGGAGAGUUGGAAGAGGAGAUCUAUAUGGAUCAGCCUGACGGGUUUGUGGUAAAGGGUGAAGAGAGAAAGGUGUGCAAGUUGUUAAAAUCUUUGUAUGGUAUGAAACAGGCACCUAAGCAAUGGCAUGAGAAGUUUGAAAGAACUCUGACUUCUGCAGGAUUUGUCAUUAACGAGGCUGAUAGGUGUGUUUACUAUCGCCAUGGUGGGGGCAAUAGUGUCAUAUUAUGUUUGUAUGUGGACGACAUACUGAUCUUUGGUACAAACAUUAAUGCAAUUAAUGAGGUCAAGUCUUUUCUAUCAAAAAGUUUUGACAUGAAAGAUCUGGGAGAAGCCGAUGUAAUUCUAAACAUCAAACUUAUUAAGGAUGAGAGUGGGAUUACAUUAACGCAAUCUCACUAUGUUGAGAAGGUCUUGAACCGAUUCGGUUUUAUGGAUAGCAAGCCUUCUCCAACACCUUAUGAACCCAGCGUGACACUCAGAAAGAACAAGAAAGAAACGAGAGAUCAAUUAAGAUACUCUCAAAUUGUCGGUUCACUCAUGUACUUAGCUAGCGCUACAAGACCAGAUAUCUCUUUUGCUGUGAGCAAACUGAGUAGGUUCAUGUCCAACCCGGGUGAUGAUCAUUGGCAUGCACUAGAAAGGGUCUUGCGCUAUCUGAGAGGUACUAUGAGUUACAGAAUUACUUAUUCAGGGCAUCCUGCUGUGCUAGAAGGAUAUAGUGAUUCAAAUUGGAUCUCCGAUGUUGAUGUACUUUACGCAACAAGUGGGUAUGUAUUUACUCAUGGUGGUGGCGCAGUGUCAUGGAGAUCUUGCAAGCAAACCAUAUUGACGAGGUCAACUAUGGAAGCAGAAUUAACUGCUUUGGACACAGCUACUGUUGAGGCAGAAUGGCUGCGUGAGCUCUUGAUGGACUUGCCGGUUGUUGAAAAACCUGUACCGGCUAUUCUUAUGAAUUGUGAUAACCAAACGGUUAUCGCUAAAGUGAACAAUUCUAAAGAUAAUGCAAAGUCAUCAAGACACGUGAAAAGACGUUUGAAGUCUGUCAGGAAGUUGAGAAACUCCGGAGUAAUAACUGUUACGUAUAUACAAACAGAC
rnacentral:rRNA from 1 species